AGAGUCCUCUACACAACUUUUACUGGGGAGCGAGGAGAUAUACAGGCCAAAUGUCCUGUUCCUGGUCUAGUACCACAUGUGGGGUGCAAGAUACCAAGAAGUCAGCAGUUGGCUUGUGGUCCACCUAAUGUUGAUCCACAACGGUGUGUGGCCAAUGGAUGUUGUGUGGAUGCAAGAACUUCCCAUUGUUACUAUCCUUUGGAUGCGUGCACUGCAGAUGGGCAUUUUGUAUUCUCCGUAUACCGCACCUCAACCAAGCCAGAAAUUGAUCCGAGCAGUCUAGUAAUUGCAGGAAACCAUUCAUGUGUCCCUGUAAUCUGCACUCCAGACUUUGCGGUCUUCAAAUUUCCUGUGACUGGCUGUGGGACACGUGUCUUUACUGUGGCGGAGACUACAAUCUAUCUUGCUGAAGUUCGUGGUUUGGUUCGGGGGAUCCAGCAGAUGUAUGGACAAAUUACCAGAGAUGGCCC